CGGCUCCUUUCCCUAGCAGAGUCGACCAACUGCCCUUCCUCAGGCGGGGAAAGCCCGAGCCUGGCGCCCUGGAAGUGACGUCAUCAGCACGGUGCCAGCGUCGGGUUGCCAGGGCCCGCAGCGAUUGCCCUAGACAGCGUCACUCAUCUCAGGGUAAACAUCAGCACGAAGGCUGCCUUUGCUAGCCGCCGUGUGUGCGCUCACGCAUUUCUCCCAGGUUUAUAGAGACAUCGAGUGGAAACUAGGGACGUCCCCAAGGACUUGUACACGGUUCCGAGGAAACGGAAGCGCUUCCGGUCGGACAGUCUAAACCGUUACUGCCACUUCUUCAGUUGGAGCAUAAGAUUAUGAAGCAGU